CGUAGGGCGCGAGCGUUGUCCGGAUUUAUUGGGCGUAAAGAGCUCGUAGGCGGCUCGUUGCGUCAAUCGUGAAAACCCGGGGCUUAACUUCGGGCUUGCGGUUGAUACGGGCGGGCUGGAGUUCGGUAGGGGAGACUGGAAUUCCUGGUGUAGCGGUGAAAUGCGCAGAUAUCAGGAGGAACACCGGUGGCGAAGGCGGGUCUCUGGGCCGAUACUGACGCUGAGGAGCGAAAGCGUGGGGAGCGAACAGGAUUAGAUACCCUGGUAGUCCACGCUGUAAACGUUGGGCGCUAGGUGUGGGGGGCCUCUCCGGUUUCCUGUGCCGUAGCUAACGCAUUAAGCGCCCCGCCUGGGGAGUACGGCCGCAAGGCUA
rnacentral:rRNA from 1 species